UACAGAGGGGGCAAGCGUUAUUCGGAAUUAUUGGGCGUAAAGGGCGCGUAGGCGGCUUUUCAAGUGACGGGUGAAAUCCCUCGGCUUAACCGAGGAACUGCCUGUCAGAUUGGAAGGCUUGAGACCGGGAGAGGUGAGUGGAAUUCCCAGUGUAGCGGUGAAAUGCGUAGAUAUUGGGAGGAACACCAGUGGCGAAGGCGGCUCACUGGACCGGAACUGACGCUGAGGCGCGAAAGCGUGGGGAGCAAACAGG
rnacentral:rRNA from 1 species